UUCCAGUUUAACAGCGGAAAGGGAUAGGAAAAUGUUGAAUAUCUGGCAAUGAUAGGGAAGACACGCAGGAGCUCGGAGCAACGGAACUGACAGCCCGUCGUUCUCGAUUCCCAGCGGCUGCGAAAAUGAUGUCUCUGUUGCAUUUUGUAAAUGAUACAAGAAACUAUUUUCUGAUCAGAGAUGUUAUUGCACACCCCUGGGACAGGAUUUAAAAGCUGUGUCUGAGGAAACAGUUGCAGUCAGGAGAUUACUGACCUGGUGAAGAAUGGGUACUCACAUUAGCUUUCCCGAAGACAUUUGAGAGAGGGGACAGAGCCGGAGAUAGAUUUGAAUGAAUGGGUUAUAACCACUGGCCUCCCCUGAGCUCAAUGUUUCAGUGCAUUUCGAAUGAUGGGAGCUGAGGAAUUCAGAAUCCAUGUUACAAAACACUGCUUUACAUGAAGAAUGUUGGAGACCUGGAAUUCUGUCUCUCUCCCAUGAUAUUGGUAGUCAAGGCCAUUAAGCAACAAAGCAGACUCCUAUGCACUGUCUGCAAAGAAGACCCCAAGCUUCCAGUUGCUCACCAUUUCAAAACAUCACUGUGUACCCAGCAUCGCUGUCUCAGGCGCACUGCAGUCCUCCAGUGAAGCUCAGCACAAGCUGGAAGAACAGCACUUCAUUUUCCACUUGGGCACCCUGCAGCCUUCAGGACUCAAUACUGAGUGUACGAAUUUUAGAGUCUGAAGACCUCCUUCCGUGCACAUUGCCUCUCCCGCACUCAGGCACUGUCUUACCAUGGGUUGCUUUCAGUACAGGCAAUCCACCUUCACCCACUCAUAGUCCGCAUUAUCAUGUAGCUUUUAUUCUUUCCUGUGUUCCCACCCCACCCCCCCCUUUCUCUGUCUAUGCUCCAUCUCCACCUAUCCAUUGUCAACUCCCCUUCCCAUCUCUUCUUUAUAUGACUUGGUAUCAAGUGUUUUCACUCAGUGAAGCCCUUUGACAAAAGUUAUUAGGACAAGUUUAUAAUUCAGCACAGCCAUACUGAAAGGUGUUGGGAAGGUGCUAGUCAUGGACGAGGAAGUGAUCUCCUCUACUGGUCACAAAAUUACCUUUCUGUUCUGCAUUGUAAGAAAGGGUCCUACUUUUACCAAAACUUCACUAGCAAUUGACAAAAAUGCCACUUGGGAGAUGAAAUGAACUGUAUAAAAGUGAAGUGCCUUUGAAAGAUAAUUGGAUUGACCAUCUGAAAGCUAUGUUUCAGGAAACAGCAGCAGAGUGGUUUUAAUUCUAAGACACAGCAAAGGCAGGAAUCUUCACAAUCUCACCACAUCCAAAAGUGCAUGAAAGUGAAUUAAGUAAUGAUGAAUUUGUGGAUUGGGGAUAAGGUGAGCCAUCCCCUCAUUCCUGACGAAGAGCUUAUGCUCAAAAGAUUGACUCUCCUGCUCCUUGGAUGCUGCCUGACAGGCUGUGCUUUUCCAGCACGACACUCUCAUCUCUGAAUUUGUGGUAACUAGUAUGUGCCCAGCAGGAGAGCUGCUCUAUUAUUGACAUAUAGGAACAGAUCAGUUUUGGCUGUUUUCAAACACUAGGCUGACUCCAUUACUCUUGUUCCAUGGCUUCAGAUUCAUUUAUCCAAGAGGGCUAACAGGGUUUGGAGACAGUUAGGACUGCAGAAGCCAGAGUCAAUAGAUGUGGAACUGGAAAAGCACAGCAAGUCAGACAGCAUCUGAGGAGCAGGAAAGUCAACAUUCCAGACUGAAACACUUCAUGAGGACGA